AAACAUUUUAUAUUUCUUUCACCAAGUGAUUCAGUAUAUGUAUACAAUUCUAGUAUUUUAACUUCUAUUUAACGAGCACUUAGGGAAUGUGAAUUUCCGUCAUUCGACUGCGCCAAUUGCAUGCUAAGUAUUUGGUUGCGGUUAACAACCAAGGCCGGAGUACCCCCAACGUUGAAAACUAUCUACGUCUCACAAGACAAGCAAUUACGAUCUCGAACUUCAAAAAGAUUCCGUCUAUGCGGAUUGUGUUGUUAUCCUGGGAAAGCUACAAAUACCGCGUAUAAAUUUGCUAUAUUCGUAAUUGGGUUCGAAGCUAAGCGAUGCCCAGCCUACCAGUUCGGCGUACACGGAAGGAUUCCCAAUUGGAGAACGAUGACGAUCUUGGUCGUAUUGCCCAAAUUUAUCCCACCUAUGCUACACUCAGGUAUUUAAAUAUAGUCCGACAUCAAAUUAAAACAAGAGAGGACGCAAUAAUCAAGUUGCCCGACUAUUACAUAUCCGUUACUUAGCAGUCAAAUUAAAAAUCUUUUUGCUUUUAGCUUUUGAUUAAAAUUUUGAAAUCGGUACCCAGGGUACCACUUGGAGGAUCAUGAGUUGCAACGGGGUCGUUUAAAACAAAAUCAAUGUUUGGGACCUACUUGAGUUUUCAAACUCCAAACCAAAAAUUUGGUUUUCGUAGCAUACGGAGGCAUACAUAAUGUUAAUAUUAAAAAUUAAAUAUUUGUAAAAUAAAAAAAAAAUU
ensembl:ncRNA lncRNA:CR43241 long non-coding RNA:CR43241